rnacentral:rRNA from 1 species
GACGAACGCUGGCGGCGUGCUUAACACAUGCAAGUCGAACGGUAAGGCCCUUCGGGGUACACGAGUGGCGAACGGGUGAGUAACACGUGGGUGAUCUGCCCUGCACUUUGGGAUAAGCCUGGGAAACUGGGUCUAAUACCGGAUAGGACCAUGGACUUCACGGUUUGUGGUGGAAAGCUUUUGCGGUGUGGGAUGGGCCCGCGGCCUAUCAGCUUGUUGGUGGGGUAAUGGCCUACCAAGGCGACGACGGGUAGCCGGCCUGAGAGGGUGUCCGGCCACACUGGGACUGAGAUACGGCCCAGACUCCUACGGGAGGCAGCAGUGGGGAAUAUUGCACAAUGGGCGCAAGCCUGAUGCAGCGACGCCGCGUGGGGGAUGACGGCCUUCGGGUUGUAAACCUCUUUCAAUAGGGACGAAGCGUAAGUGACGGUACCUAUAGAAGAAGGACCGGCCAACUACGUGCCAGCAGCCGCGGUAAAAC